rnacentral:snRNA from 1 species
GUUUUCCCUUCGUCAGCACAUGCACCAACGUUGGAACAAUAUGAAAAUUAGCCUGCCCUCUGCCUAAAGACAACAGGCAAGUUUGUGAUGUGUUCAAUUUUGUG